CUGCCAAAAUGCUAUGACUGAGAGCACCAGCUCUAGGGACAUUCACAAGAGUGAGCCCCAGAUCCUCUGGAGUUAGAAUUCAAGAUGAAAGUCAUUCAUUCAUUCUUUCGGUUUGAAUGAUGGCUACUGUUUGCACAGAGGUGUAUUCAGUACAGAUAAAGUGCUAGAAGACUUCCAAAGAGGUGACCUUUGGGGGCAUACCGUGGAGAGAAGGGGUAGAGAAGGUGUUAUAGAGAAAAAGUUAAAAAAAAAAAAAAAAAAGUGGCGCUCCUGUCGUGGCUCAAUGGUUAAAAAACCCGACCAGCAUCUAUGAGGACGUGGGGUUGAUGCCUGGCCUCAUUCAGUGGGUUAAGGAUCCAGUGUUGCCAUGAGCUGUGGUGUAGGUUGCAGACAUGGCUGGGAAUCCCACGUUGCUAUGGCUCUGGCGUAGGCUGGCGGCUACAGCUCUGAUUAGACCCCUAGCCUGGGAACCUCCAUAUGCCGCUCGUUCAGCCCUACAAAGACAAAAAAAAAAAAAAAAAAAAAAAGUGGUGGUAGUUCAGGGUCAGACCACAGCAAGGCAGCCUACAAAGACUGAAUUUUAUUUGACAGGUGAUGGAGAACCAUUGCUGCUUUAUGACAUGGGGAGCCACCUGGCCAGAUUAAUUUGGGAGUAGUGUGGAAGGUUUCAGAGUAAGGACACCAAUGGGAGAACCAGUGUUCACGAAAAGGAACCUAAAGAUAUUUUGAAGUUCUGGCUGGGAGGUCAUAGGAAACUGGGUUUGAGUAACCAUGGGCAUGGGGCGGGGGCAUGCAUGAAAUCAGGGCGUUUUAGCAAGUGAUUAUGAAGGGAGCGGAGGGGAGGGCAGAGAUGAUUCAGAUUUACUCUCUGGGAAUAGAACAUUAGUGGUUAGUGAUUCAAUUCAAUCCAGACCCUUAAAAGGGAAAAGAUCUGGGGUCAAGCCUCUGCCUGCCAAUGAUUAGCGAGGUGUGCUUGGGUUAAAUUACUGACACUCUUUGAACUUCAACUUCCUCAUCUGUAAAACGAGACUAAUGGUACACCCCCUCAUACUAUUACUACUACUAGCAUUGGGAGGUACUAUCAUCAUCAUUGUCCUCAUUUUAUAAAUGGAGAUGUUGGCAGUCCAGUGAAGUGCAAAGCCAAGAUCCAAAGCCAGGCUGUCUGACUCCUGAGCCUACCCUUUAGAACAUAACUGCUAGGUAAUUUCUUGGUGAUCAGACAGUAAAACACUUGGCACAUACUAAAGGGCUUUAAAUCCUUGCUUGUUAGAAAGGCAGACUCCCAGACCCUAUCCUGGACCUCAUAGAUUGGAAUCUGCAUAUUUUUAAUAUAUUUUUUUUGGCUGUGAAAGUUCCUGGACCAGGUAUUGAACCUGGGUCUCAGCAGUGACCUGAGCCACUGUGGUGACAAUGCCUGAUCCUUAACUGCUAGGCCACCAGAGAAGUCCUAGAAGCUGCAUUUUAAACAAGAUUUCUAAGUGACUUGCAUGCACACUGAAGUGUGAGAAGGACCAUUUUAAAUGAUUGGUUCUCCGAGUUCCUGCUGUAGCUCAGUGGUAAUGAACCUGAUUAGUAUCCAUGAGGUUGAGGGUUCGAUCCCUGACCUCACUCAGUGGGUUAAGGAUCUGGUGUUGCCAUGAGCUGUGGUGUAGGUCGCAGACGAAGUUCAGAUCCUGUGUUGCUGUGGCUGUGGUGUAGGCCGGCAGCUACAGCUCUGAUUUAAACCCCUACCCUGAGAACUUCUAUAUGCCGUGCGGGGGGGUGGGGGGACGCGCGCAAAGUAGACUAAAUAAAUAAAUAAAUCACUGGUUCUCCAACUUGGCCGCAAUGAACUCACUUGGGGAACUUUCAAAGCCGGUACAGACCGUGUUUAAUCAACUCAGGACGUUGCCUGGGCCUGUUUUCCCUGGCUCCGCCCCCUCUUGGCGCCGCCCUCCAGCCGUUCUCAGCGUUUAAAAAAUUUUCCAGGUACCGAUACAACCCGUUUACAUCGCUGUUCGCAGAUGAAACAUUAACUAGUCCUCCAAUUAACUAGUCUAAUGUGCAACGAAAUUUGAGACACUCUUACAAAUGUUAGGUUUCCUUCCAGUCAUUUCCCUCUCAUGCUUCACUCAGAGAAAAUGGGUUGUUAGUUCAAGUGUCUGAAAUCAGACUCUCAAAGUUAAACCCUGGCAAGUCCUCGCGCUGGCUGUAGUUGGUGCACAUCUGAGUCCAUAGACGCAGGCAGACAGGACAUAUACGUUGCUGUAUUUUUCUGUAACAAAUUAAUCUUUAUCUUGCACGUUGAUUCUGUGGAGGUUGUGCAAUUAAAUCUGAUCGAUUGGGCUUCUUGCCUUUUCUUCAGAACAUUGCAUCUAAGUUUGGGGGAACUUCUAUAGUUGUGACUAGGCCCGCCCCCAAUAUCAUCUUUGAUGUCAUCUGUCCAAAUCUGGGGUCACAGAGUCAGUCCUUAUUCUUCUCACUUGUCCCAUUUGCAUUGAUGGGGAAACAGUUAAUAAAAUCUCCCAAUCCAGAAGUCCUCUCCACCAUGGUAGUAGAGAAAAAAACCUCUUUUGCUGUUGGCUAAGCAUUACAUUAGAAUGUGAUGCACAUCUCAGGAAUUGCCAAGAGAGUGCAAAAACUGAAGGAAAUCUUACCCUUCUGUAGCCAAGCAGAUACAACCCGUUUACAUCUCUGUUCUCAGCCGAAACAUUAACUAGUCCUCCAGUAAGAAGACUUGAUGGCACCAUUUGUCACACAUAGUUCAUCUGGUAAUUAGGGUCACCAUCUGUGUCUGCUAAUAGGCUUCAUAUAAAGGAGAACAGAUUCCUUCUAACAGGAGGUAGUUUUAGAGAGAGGUUCCUACUUUCCUGCAGAAACUGGGAGACAGGGUUUUAUUUUUUUCCCCUUGGAUGUUUACAUUCCAAAAUGUGGUUCCCAGGUCCUUGAGAAGGACAUUGCUGAGUCUGUAAAGCUGGCCAAAGACUUAUUUAGCUUUCAAAAAGAUUUACUUAGAUUUAGAGACAGAGGAAAAACAUACAGUUACACGGUUUCUAAAAUAAAUGCGCUAAGAAAAAGGAGUAGGGUGUGUGUGUGUCUCUUACCUUAUUUCAACAGGGAAGAGUAAGCCUCUUAGUUUGAAUUUGUAUUUGCCCUUGUAGCUUCCCACCGCUCCCUUCCAUACUUCCUUCUCUGCUUGAGAACCAUCCUGAUGCUUCAGUGCACUGGUGGCAUGGAAAUAUCAGGUAGAUUGUGGCUCCAUCUGCCCAGACACACUGCUCAACCAUGACAUUUUUGGCUCCCAUCCCUUUCUUCCUUCCAAGAAGCAGGGUGCAGUGCUCUUAAGCCAUCAGGUCCCCGCACUCACAUCCCGUUUGGCUGCUUUGCAGGGGCUCUGACUCAGAAGCAGGACUCAGGGCUCCUCUCUUGGGGACCCACUGCUGCCCCCUGUCUCUUCACUCCUUUCUCCCCCCUCCCUUCUGUCCAAGGGAAGCUCUCCUAUUCUUGAAGAUUCUAUCCUAGAAUGUAAGCCCCAAGAUCUGUUCUGUUCCUCGCUCCCUUAACACUUUCUAGCUCUGUGUCUGGCAGUGAGACGGGAGACAGGAAAUAUGUGUAAAAGGAAUGAUGCUUCUUCUAAAAGUUUGGAUUGGGAGUUGCUGUUGUGGCUCAGUGGUUAAGAACCUGACAUAGUGUCCAUGAGGUUGUGGGUUCAAUCCCUGGCCUUGAUCAGUGCGUUAAGGACCCAGCAAUGCUGAAACCUUUGGUGUAGGUUGCAGAUGUGGCUUGGAUCCAGUGUUGCCCUGACUGUGACGUAGGCUGGAAGCUGCUGCUCCGAUUUGGCCUGUAGCCCAGGAACUUACAUAUAUAACAGGGGCAGCCAUAAAGAUAAAUAAAUGAAUAAAUAAAAAUUUCAUUUGGACUCUGAGUCCUCUUCAUUCUAAGACCAAGGACUUUGCUUCCCUCUCCCCUGAGGCAAGGAACACAGGGUACCUGUUUGUUUGGAGGAGGUGGGAGUGGGGGUGGUGGACGACCAGGAGACCAGGAGACAGAGAAGUACUUCAGAACCAUUACACUCCCCACGUUUUUAGUGUUCAUAAAUGCAAACAAGUCACGCACAUGUCCAUCC
rnacentral:lncRNA from 1 species